CGAGCAUAUAAUAGGCAUAAAUACAUUAAAUAAAUACAUUAAAACAAUCAUUCUUAUACAUCAUUAGCAUUAAUAAAUUGAUAGCUAAAAUAAUUAUGUAAAAUGUUAAUAACUAACUUUAUUAUCACCAAAAGGAAUGUCUAGGAGGAUCUUGACCUUGAUUUUGAGAGCUUUGAUCAUCAGCUUGUUGAUGUUGAUAUUGAUAAUAUUCUGAUGGAUUGAAGCUGAAUAAGGAAUGAACUGGAUUAUUGAAGUUGGGCUGUGGAGGAGGAGGGUAUAAGUGCUCUGCCUCUGAUGAUGAGAAAUUUCCAUACAUGGGAGGGUAAUGGUAUGGAUACGGAUUUAGGUGUGCUUGUCCAUGUCCAUAUCCAUAUCCAUAAUCACUAGUAGAUGUAGAUGAUGAGUGUCCACUAUACAUGAUAUUUUCACCAUAUCUGUAUCCAUAUCCAUAUGCAUAGUUAGCUUCAGAAUCAUAAGAAUGGUCCCCCUCAUGUGUAGGACCAUUGCCUUUUGAUGAUGAUGCAUCACCACCAAAACCACAUGAUCUGCGAUAUAUUUAUUGUAGUGUUGGAGAUUGAGAUGGAGAUGAAGCCAUGCCACUAGAUUGCUCUCUACUACUGCUUUGUAUAUCUUCAUGUGAUUGUGAAAUAGUACCUGCACCACCUCCACCUAUUGAUCCUCCCCCAACUUCACCACCAUCUCCAUCAUCAUCAUCAUCAU
rnacentral:misc_RNA from 1 species